rnacentral:misc_RNA from 1 species
ACAAACUUGGUCAUUUAGAGGAAGUAAAAGUCGUAACAAGGUUUCCGUAGGUGAACCUGCGGAAGGAUCAUUAACGAGUUUGAAAUGGGUUGUAGCUGGCCUUUCGAGGCAUGUGCACGCCCUGCUCAUCCACUCUACACCUGUGCACUUACUGUAGGCUUCCGGGGUGCUAUGGUGGGCUUUUUGCUCGCCUGGCCGUCGGUUCCUACGUUUACUACAAACGCUUCAGUAACAGAAUGUGUAUUGCGACGUUAACGCAUUUAUAUACAACUUUCAGCAACGGAUCUCUUGGCUCUCGCAUCGAUGAAGAACGCAGC